UACGUAGGGUGCAAGCGUUUGUCCGGAAUUAUUGGGCGUAAAGAGCUCGUAGGCAGUUUGUCGCGUCUGCUGUGAAAACGCGAGGCUCAACCUCGCGCCUGCAGUGGGUACGGGCAGACUAGAGUGCGGUAGGGGAGAUUGGAAUUCCUGGUGUAGCGGUGGAAUGCGCAGAUAUCAGGAGGAACACCGAUGGCGAAGGCAGAUCUCUGGGCCGUAACUGACGCUGAGGAGCGAAAGCAUGGGGAGCGAACAGG
rnacentral:rRNA from 1 species